AUUAGUCUUUUAAAAAUGAGAUAUUUUCAUUGCAUUUUUAAAAGUUUUAUAAUAAGUCACUUCAUAACUAAAACAUUUCCCUCUGCUUUUGGUUCACUGUACAUAUGUACAUACAUAUGUAUGUAGAGAAUGAGAUAGAGAUAUGAAUGUGCAUUUGUUUAAAAAUAGUUACAUAUGUAUACCUUGCCUGUGCAUGUGAUUCAAAAACGAUAAUGGCGGAGAGUUCGCGUUUUAUACUUGUCGACAAAUGCGAAAGGGCUGUUAUGUGUAAAAGCUCCUCAAAAAUAAGUUCAAGUUCUUCGGGAGUUCUUUCGUGUGAGCUGAAAUUAAUAAUUAUACAACUAAUUGCAAACGUUCAUAUACAUAUGGUACGUACCAUAUAAGAAAAGGGAUGUUAGCGAAUAUAUUCGUAUACUGAUGUAAAGAACUAAUACUAUAUACAUAUAUGGUCAAAAAAUAAAAAAUAUGGUUAAAUAAUAAAUUCUUUAUAAUGAAGAUGUCAGUCAGCUUGACAACACUAGAAGUGUCCAUGGCCACGUGUAUAAAUGAAUGUGCAUUAGUGUGUGACAACUAAUUCUGCACUUUGAUAUGUACAUAUGUGUGUACUUACGGCUUUCGUAAAAUCAUUCGCAGUAUUGCAUCUGGUCCACGUUGGAAAAGUGUGCUCAGAGACUCUCGAACAUAUUCAUUAGCUGCAUUAAUAUCCUCGGUUGUCGAGUAGCUGCCAGCACUGCCAUCUUCGUCAACACGAAAACGACUAACCAUGGGAUAACACCCCUUCUUCGAGCAACGCUUGCCACAUGCCAGCAGCUUGGGCCCGAGUAUGAACAAUAGAUGAUAAAUUCAACAGCCAAUCCACUAAUUCUGUUCCUGGUGCACAUUUUCGAAUAAAUUUACCAGCUACCUGUAAGAAGAAAUAAGUACAUACGUUCGCUUAUGUACGUAAACGUAAACAUGAUACUACAUAGUAUACAUAGUAUUAGUUCAUACAUAGAAAUUAAAAUAAUGUUAUAUUUUUGUAUAUUUUUCUAUAGAAAUGUUUCAACUUGAACAUUUAUAUGUAAGUAUACAGUUUUAAAAUAGGUAGGAAUAGAAAUAAUUAAUUAGCCGAGUAAAUUGGUUGCUUGUAUUCUUACUUUAGAUAAGAAGGUUAUGCAUUUGUAUAUAAAUUUUUACAUACAAAAUAAUGUCUCAAAAUUCUGGGUUUACCACUUACUUUUCUAUCCUUGAGACAACUUGAACCAUCAGCAAUAAGGAGUGUACGCAAGGCCCAUCCCAUUCGACUCAUAGUAGAACUCGGAGACUGGCGAAGACGGAUGUAUUGGAUGUAUAAUUGCAACAUGGUUGUGAUGGUAAAUAAGAAAUUAUUAAUAUACCAGUUAUAAAGGAACGUACGAUCAAUAUGAGAAAAGCUGAAUAUGUUCAUUUUAAAUGUACCCGUCGGCGUUAAAUAUAUGUAGUAUCAAAAAUAUUGUAUGUGAUAUUGAAAAACGCCUUUACCUCAGAAAUAGGUAAAGCGGGAUUCGGAUGAUCUGGACUUAAAGGACGCUUAGUUGGGGACGAAGCAAUUGGUGAAACUCCGGAACCGAAUCCUUGGAAACAAGAUGUAAAUACAGAGAUGUUAAAUUGAUAAUAUUAAAGUUUUCUUAUCCUUUAUAUAUGUAUGUAUAUAAUAACUCACUGUGAAACCAAACUUUAUUACCUCCAAAAAAAUAUAAAUACAAAAAAAAAAGUGAUAAAUUAAAAAUAAGUUAAUUUUAUGCAAAUAACUAGCACAGAAAAAAUCAUGGUACUUCUAGUAGGUUUUUCAUAAUAAUUAAUAUUUUAGAAGUAAGGAAGGGCUUAACUUAAAAAGAUAUAGAGAGUCUGAAUCCAUUAUAUUAGGGAUAUGGGUUGUAGAUCGAGGUCUAGAUCGAUUUCAUUCCUGUUCAGCCCUAAACUAUAUAAAGUUUAAGAAAAUUAAUUUCCUGAAAAUGUCUUACAUAUUGAUCAACAUGAAUGGUUUAAAGCCAGCUGGCUUGUUGGAAUUCACUAGGUUACGGGAGGUUACGGGAAGAUCUGGAUUGAUUGCAUUAACUUUUAGCACACAUUUGUGUAAAGUUAUUCCGAUAUCGUCAUUGGUGCUUGAUUUAUAUAAUGUAAAGUAAAGCAAUGAGAAGGAAUUUAAAAUUGUGU